rnacentral:rRNA from 1 species
GACGAACGCUGGCGGCGUGCUUAACACAUGCAAGUCGAACGGUAAGGCCCUUCGGGGUACACGAGUGGCGAACGGGUGAGUAACACGUGGGUGAUCUGCCCUGCACUUCGGGAUAAGCCUGGGAAACUGGGUCUAAUACCGGAUAGGACCACUGCCUGCAUGGGUGGUGGUGGAAAGCUUUUGCGGUGUGGGAUGGGCCCGCGGCCUAUCAGCUUGUUGGUGGGGUGAUGGCCUACCAAUGCGACGACGGGUAGCCGGCCUGCGAGGGUGACCGGCGACACUGGGAGUGAGAUACGGCCAAGACUCCUACGGGAGGCAGCAGUGGGGAAUAUUGCACAAUGGGAGCAAGCCUGAUGCAGCGACGCCGCGUGAGGGAUGACGGCCUUCGGGUUGUAAACCUCUUUCAGCACCGACGAAGCGCAAGUGACGGUAGGUGCAGAAGAAGGACCGGCCAACUACGUGCCAGCAGCCGCAGUAA